rnacentral:misc_RNA from 1 species
UUUUAAAGCGUUUCGAGGAUCGUAAAGCCUCGAUGCUUUGAAAGAAAAUUCCGUACCAGCAGAGCAGUUUGUUAUUGACAGUCGAAGGCACGCAAGAUGCUAUCGAAUGCAGGAGUUCGCUGGAUUCUUCUUCUUUUCGAUCUGCAUUUUUAUCGCGGGACUUUGUGUAUGCGUAUUUCUCCGGACGAGCAUCAAGAACUCGAAUACGAUUUGUUACGUUUGUAACUUGCAAUAUAAUUUGAUUGGAGAAUAACCGUAUCUUUAAACCGUAAAUAUCUUUCACUUUGAUUCAUGCGAGAUUAAAAAUAUAUAUUCCGCGGAACGCUAAAAAUAAAAACAAAUUU